rnacentral:lncRNA from 1 species
GUCUUUUUUGUUCCCCUCGUCUCUAAAUGUAAAUGGAUGGAAAGUCAAUGCAUCUUAACGGACAUGUUGACUCAUUUGUGGCUUAGCUGGAUUUGCUACCUCUCUGAGGCUUUUAUUUCCUUCUGUGUAUUUUUGAAGGCUAACUCAACCUUACUGAGGUGAAGUAUAGAUCUCUUGGGGAGAUGAUUUCCAGUGGACUGAAUAACAUCUGUGUUUUCAGAGUAUCUUCUGUUUUCU